CCUGGCAAUCUCGACCCAUACCCGCGAGUGCCCGCGGGUUACCCGCAAAUUUGCGGGUAUGGGUACCAACUUUUCAAACCCAAAAAAUUACGGGUAAAACGGGUGGGUACCCAUUAAGCUGUGGGCAUUUUGGGUAACCCGCGGGUACCCACGGGUACCCGCACAUAUACUUUUUAAUUAAAAAAUAUAUUUUCUUAAUUAAAAUACAUAUAUUUUUAUUUAUCCAUCUUAAAAAUUCUAACCCUAAUUUCUUACCGCGUCUUUUAUAUUACGAAAUUUUUUUGUUUUAAGACUUUAAAUAUUUUUAUUGUAUGUUAUGAUAUUUUAAAUAAUGAAUUAUGCUAUAUUUUUAAAACUUAUUUAUAUGUAUUUGCAUUUAAAAAAUAUAAGAGAAAAAAGAAAAAAAAAAAUUGCGGGUAACCCGCAUACCUACCCGCCCACCCGCGGGCGGGUAUGGGUAAAGAUGUUGGCUACCCAAAAAUUUGUGGGUAAAUUUUACCCAUGCCCAAAUAACCCGCGGGUACAAUGACCCGCCCCUGGGUUACCCAAUCCACCCGUUUGCUAGGUCUAUAUGUAUGUAUGCUAGUGAUUACUUUUCCCUAUAUUUCAG
rnacentral:lncRNA from 1 species